AUUGAACGCUGGCGGCAGGCUUAACACAUGCAAGUCGAGCGGAGAUGAGGUGCUUGCACCUUAUCUUAGCGGCGGACGGGUGAGUAAUGCUUAGGAAUCUGCCUAUUAGUGGGGGACAACAUUCCGAAAGGAAUGCUAAUACCGCAUACGUCCUACGGGAGAAAGCAGGGGAUCUUCGGACCUUGCGCUAAUAGAUGAGCCUAAGUCGGAUUAGCUAGUUGGUGGGGUAGAGGCCUACCAAGGCGACGAUCUGUAGCGGGUCUGAGAGGAUGAUCCGCCACACUGGGACUGAGACACGGCCCAGACUCCUGCGGGGGGCAGCAGUGGGGAAUAUUGGACAAUGGGGGAAACCCUGAUCCAGCCAUGCCGCGUGUGUGAAGAAGGCCUUAUGGUUGUAAAGCACUUUAAGCGAGGAGGAGGCUACUGAGACUAAUACUCUUGGAUAGUGGACGUUACUCGCAGAAUAAGCACCGGCUAACUCUGUGCCAGCAGCCGCCGUAA
rnacentral:rRNA from 1 species